UGACAUAUAAGUCAGCUGUGAAAGUUUACGGCUCAACCGUGAAAUUGCAGUUGAUACUGUAUGUCUUGAGUGUACAAGAGGUGGGCGGAAUUCGUGGUGUAGCGGUGAAAUGCUUAGAUAUCACGAAGAACUCCAAUUGCGAAGGCAGCUCACUGGGGUACAACUGACACUGAGGCUCGAAAGUGUGGGUAUCAAACAGGAUUAGAUACCCUGGUAGUCCACACAGUAAACGAUGAAUACUCGCUGUUUGCGAUAUACAGUAAGCGGCCAAGCGAAAGCAUUAAGUAUUCCACCUGGGGAGUACGCCGGCAACGGUGGAACUCAAAGGAAUUGACGGGGGCCCGCACAAGCGGAGGAACAUGUGGUUUAAUUCGAUGAUACGCGAGGAACCUUACCCGGGCUUGAAUUGCAGAGGAACAUAGUUGAAAGAUUAUCGCCGCAAGGUCUCUGUGAAGGUGCUGCAUGGUUGUCGUCAGCUCGUGCCGUGAGGUGUCGGCUUAAGUGCCAUAACGAGCGCAACCCUUACCAUUAGUUACUAACGGGUUAUGCCGAGGAUUCUAGUGGGACUGCCACCGUAAGGUGUGAGGAAGGUGGGGAUGACGUCAAAUCAGCACGGCCCUUACGUCCGGGGCGACACACGUGUUACAAUGGGCGGCACAGAGGGCAGCGACUCCGCGAGGGGAAGCAAAUCUCAAAAAGCCGUUCUCAGUUCGGAUUGGAGUCUGCAACUCGACUCCAUGAAGCUGGAUUCGCUA
rnacentral:rRNA from 1 species